CUCCCUGUAUGUGACUUGCACAGCCUUCCAUAAACACUUCCUGUAAAGGGAGCCCUAUUUAGGCUUUCUUUAUUGCAAGUUCUGUUUAAUUUAGAUUUUCUUAUCCCCUGCUAUGUUAAUAGCUUGCUAGACCCUGCAAGAGCCUCCUAUAUGUAAUUAAAGUUCAAUUUAGAGAUUGAGAUACAAUUAUUUAAGGUAAAUUACAUCUGUUUGAAAGUGAAACCAGUUUUUUUUUUCUUGCCGGC